CUGGCUGCUGCAGUUGGCACGUCCUGUCUCAGACUGGAAAAAAGAAACAAUUACAUAGAGAACACAGAGCCUGGAUGAGAAACACAGGUCAGGGGAGCUUUAGACAUUCACAGGGGCACCCAGAGGAUGCCAGUCUAUAGUGCCAUGUCCCCUGCAUACUCGUCUGCUGUGCUAUUUGGAAGGUAGUUUAGGAAAGGGGCCCACGUCUUAUCGAAAGCUCUCUCUUUCCCCUUUAAAACUGAGCUCAAGCGCUCCAUCUGCAAACUGUCUCAGAUUCUGGAUUGGACCGACGUCUGGACUCUUCAGCUCUGUGACAUUGUUUGUUUCCUGUGCAGAUUUGGCUUUUUGUUCUCUUAAGCUGCGGUUCAUUUGCAGACUGCUGCAGGAUUUCCUCCAGGAUUUCUCUGUUUCACUGAAUCUGACCCUCAACCUUCACCAUGCUUCAUAAGGCCUGCUGCAGAGAAACAUCACCACAGUGGGGCUUCAUGACGGAGGAACAUUUACUCAAACCUGUCCUCCCUCCGUGGACGAAUGGGAAUGUGACCCUCAACUGCUGAUAACAUGUGAACUGUGUUGUGCUGCCUCUGGCGACCUGUCUGCUCAGGAAUUUGUCGUUUUUUUCCCCUCUUCUUUUAUAGUUUUGUGUUUUAUCAAAACAAAACUAUAAAAAUAAAGUUGAAUGAUCUCCACCUUUACUGCUGCAACAUUAAAGUAAUGAACAUAUUAUUGCAUCAAUAAAUAUAAUCCAAUAACCUGCUUUUGUUGGUACAAUCCAGGCUGGAAUCGCAGCAGUGACUCGCUUAAAAAACGACUGGUUUUGUUGUUUGUUGGUCAAACAAGAAAACCAGCUGUUUUUUUUUUUUUACCAAAUUUGAGGAAAUUCCCUCAAGGCCUUUUUGAGAUAUCAUGUUCACAAGAAUGAGAUGGAUGCAAGGUCAUAGUGUCCUUGACCUUUGGCCCCCAAAGUCUAAUGAAUCCAUUGCUGAGUCCAAGUGGAAUUUUGAAAGAAUUCCCUCGUGGUGUUCUUGAGCUAUCAGGUUAGCCGUAAAAUGUAACAUGUUAUGGAUUUUAACAGUGAUUAAAAGACACGUGAUGAACGAAACAGGCAGAGAGACCAGUGUGGAAAUAUAUGUACACAUUUUUAUUCAGGACAGAGACACAGCCUCGGGGUGAAGCAGUGACUGGCUGCAGCCGUUUAUACAAACAACACUGACAUCACUCUUUAGCACACGUACAGAACAUGUCGACCUGCAGGAACAUUCAGAGCCAAAUAUCUGUGGAAGUAAAAGGUGUAC